GGGUAGCGGAGAAAUUCCAAUCGAACCUGGAGAUAGCUGGUUCUCUCCGAAAUAGCUUUAGGGCUAGCCUCAAGUGAUGAUUAUUGGAGGUAGAGCACUGUUUGGACGAGGGGCCCCUCUCGGGUUACCGAAUUCAGACAAACUCCGAAUGCCAAUUAAUUUAACUUGGGAGUCAGAACAUGGGUGAUAAGGUCCGUGUUCGAAAGGGAAACAGCCCAGACCACCAGCUAAGGUCCCAAAAUAUAUGUUAAGUKGAAAAGGAUGUGGCGUUGCCCAGACAACUAGGAUGUUGGCUUAGAAGCAGCCAUCAUUUAAAGAGUGCGUAAUAGCUCACUAGUCGAGUGACACUGCGCCGAAAAUGUACCGGGGCUAAACAUAUUACCGAAGCUGUGGAUUGUCCUUUGGACAAUGGUAGGAGAGCGUUCUAAGGGCGUUGAAGCAUGAUCGUAAGGACAUGUGGAGCGCUUAGAAGUGAGAAUGCCGGUGUGAGUAGCGAAAGACGGGUGAGAAUCCCGUCCACCGAUUGACUAAGGUUUCCAGAGGAAGGCUCGUCCGCUCUGGGUUAGUCGGGUCCUAAGCUGAGGCCGACAGGCGUAGGCGAUGGAUAACAGGUUGAUAUUCCUGUACCACCUAUAAUCGUUUUAAUCGAUGGGGGGACGCAGUAGGAUAGGCGAAGCGUGCGAUUGGAUUGCACGUCUAAGCAGUAAGGCUGAGUAUUAGGCAAAUCCGGUACUCAUUAAGGCUGAGCUGUGAUGGGGAGAAGACAUUGUGUCUUCGAGUCGUUGAUUUCACACUGCCGAGAAAAGCCUCUAGAUAGAAAAUAGGUGCCCGUACCGCAAACCGACACAGGUAGUCAAGAUGAGAAUUCUAAGGUGAGCGAGCGAACUCUCGUUAAGGAACUCGGCAAAAUGACCCCGUAACUUCGGGAGAAGGGGUGCUCUUUAGGGUUAACGCCCAGAAGAGCCGCAGUGAAUAGGCCCAAGCGACUGUUUAUCAAAAACACAGGUCUCUGCUAAACCGUAAGGUGAUGUAUAGGGGCUGACGCCUGCCCGGUGCUGGAAGGUUAAGAGGAGUGGUUAGCUUCUGCGAAGCUACGAAUCGAAGCCCCAGUAAACGGCGGCCGUAACUAUAACGGUCCUAAGGUAGCGAAAUUCCUUGUCGGGUAAGUUCCGACCCGCACGAAAGGCGUAACGAUUUGGGCACUGUCUCAACGAGAGACUCGGUGAAAUCAUAGUACCUGUGAAGAUGCAGGUUACCCGCGACAGGACGGAAAGACCCCGUGGAGCUUUACUGUAGCCUGAUAUUGAAAUUCGGCACAGCUUGUACAGGAUAGGUAGGAGCCUUUGAAACGUGAGCGCUAGCUUACGUGGAGGCGCUGGUGGGAUACUACCCUAGCUGUGUUGGCUUUCUAACCCGCACCACUUAUCGUGGUGGGAGACAGUGUCAGGCGGGCAGUUUGACUGGGGCGGUCGCCUCCUAAAAGGUAACGGAGGCGCUCAAAGGUUCCCUCAGAAUGGUUGGAAAUCAUUCAUAGAGUGUAAAGGCAUAAGGGAGCUUGACUGCGAGACCUACAAGUCGAGCAGGGUCGAAAGACGGACUUAGUGAUCCGGUGGUUCCGCAUGGAAGGGCCAUCGCUCAACGGAUAAAAGCUACCCCGGGGAUAACAGGCUUAUCUCCCCCAAGAGUUCACAUCGACGGGGAGGUUUGGCACCUCGAUGUCGGCUCAUCGCAUCCUGGGGCUGUAGUCGGUCCCAAGGGUUGGGCUGUUCGCCCAUUAAAGCGGUACGCGAGCUGGGUUCAGAACGUCGUGAGACAGUUCGGUCCCUAUCCGUCGUGGGCGUAGGAAAUUUGAGAGGAGCUGUCCUUAGUACGAGAGGACCGGGAUGGACAUACCUCUGGUGUACCAGUUGUCGUGCCAACGGCAUAGCUGGGUAGCUAUGUGUGGACGGGAUAAGUGCUGAAAGCAUCUAAGCAUGAAGCCCCCCUCAAGAUGAGAUUUCCCAACUUCGGUUAUAAGAUCCCUCAAAGAUGAUGAGGUUAAUAGGUUCGAGGUGGAAGCAUGGUGACAUGUGGAGCUGACGAAUACUAAUCGAUCGAAGACUUAAUCAAAUU
rnacentral:rRNA from 1 species